GCUGUACUGUGAAGAGCUUGGCGUAAAGGUAAAUAAGAACAGGUGUGACGUCAUGCGGAAAUCAAUAGCGUUUGUUGUCAACACGGAUUUCUUAUGAAGUUAUAGUAAAGCAUACAUUGUGCAAGUCCGAAAUUUAUUCUGCCAGUGCUGAAAGAAGAGCUACAUUUCGACCACUCCUCUUGAAUUUGCAUGGUAGCCAUGGAUGUUCACUAAAGUUGACUUUAAAUCGACUGUUGAACCAGUCAUUAUACCAGAUUGCAGUUUGUGGUAACAGAGCUGAUAUAGUUGAUACAUUUUGAUCAUUCUUGAAUCUUAGUGUCAUGGAUUUUCGCUGAAGUUGAAUCAGUAUUGGACUGUCAGUAUUUGUACUAGGAUGAGGAGCAGAUACAGAAGAGCUGUGUAAUCUAUGUUAAACA